ACGGAGGUGGCAAGCGUUACUCGGAAUUAUUGGGUGUAAAGGGUAAGUAGGCGGUUCAUUAAGUGAGGGGUGAAAUCCUGCGGCUCAAUCGCAGAAUAGCCUUUCAAACUGAUAAACUUGAGGACGGAAGAGGGAAAUGGAAUUCGCAGUGUAAGGGUGAAAUCUGUAUUUAUUGCGAAGAACAACAACGGCGUAGGCAAUUUCCUGAUCCGUUUCUCACGCUGAAUUACGAAAGCUAGGGGAGCAAAAAG
rnacentral:rRNA from 1 species